AGAAUUAGGCAGGGAAGAUACCAUGAUCACGAAGGUGGUUUUCCCAGGGUGAGGCUCAUCCAUUGCACUGCGGGUGUGCUGACCCCUGCGAUUUCCCCAAAUGCGGGAAACUCGACUGCAUAAUUUGUGGUUAGUUAUAC
rnacentral:snRNA from 1 species